rnacentral:rRNA from 1 species
GGCGCCUACGGGAGGCAGCAGUGGGGGAUAUUGCACAAUGGGGGAAACCCUGAUGCAGCGACGCCGCGUGGGUGAAGAAGCGCCUCGGCGCGUAAAGCCCUGUCAGCAGGGAAGAAAAUGACGGUACCUGAAGAAGAAGCCCCGGCUAACUACGUGCCAGCAGCCGCGGUAAUACGUAGGGGGCAAGCGUUAUCCGGAUUUACUGGGAGUAAAGGGGGCGCAGACGGCGAUGCAAGCCAGGAGUGAAAGCCAGGGGCCCAACCCCGGCACUGCUCUUGGAUCUGCGUGGCUAG